GCAAACUUGGUCAUUUAGAGGAAGUAAAAGUCGUAACAAGGUUUCCGUAGGUGAACCUGCGGAAGGAUCAUCACCAAUCCAAAUUUACAGCACAAUUCUCUAUAUUUCUGGGGGGUUGUGUCUACCUGUUUGUGAAUUAGCAAUAAUGUAACUGGUAUUGGGGGGAUUAUUGGGUUUGUCUAUGCUGUUAUUUAUAACGGCCUGGGUAAACCGACCCCCAUGUCCAAUUAAUGUUAAACUAUUAUUAUUAUAUAUUUUAUACAAGUCUAAUUACAAUUUAUUGUAAAUUAAAUACAACUUGUAGCGAUGGAUCUCUUGGCUCUAGCAUCGAUGAAGAACGCAGC
rnacentral:misc_RNA from 1 species